AUGGACGUGAUGGGAUAUUUAAACAAGUCAAUUGCCAAGCUACAAAUGGGGCUGGCAGUGUGGCGCAACAAGCCUGAGCUUUUUGAGAGUGCAGAUAUGCAUGAGGCAGGAAAGGAAAAAGGCUUCAGUACAAUGAAGACCUGGAUGCCUCAAGGGAGGCCUGCGAGGAAUGUGCUCCAGACCGGCAAGGUGCUGCUCAACAGCGAGAAGCACCACCGGCGUCAGCAGUGUCAGCGUCACCGCCUCCUCGGCAUGCAAAAGACGUCACUCCCAAAUCGUCUCCGUAAUGCAUCCAGUAUACCGGAUGCUACUACAGCGAGAAGCACCAUCGGCGUCAGCAGUGUCAGCGUCACCGCCUCCUCGGCAUGCAGAAGACGUCACUCCCAAAUCGUCUCCGUAAUGCAUCCAGAGCCCGCUUCUCGAAGGUGCUAA
rnacentral:rRNA from 1 species